GACCUUAUGGUCCGUGGGGUAUAAUGGGGUUGUUAUGCGGGUCUGACCUUACUGGGGUGGGAUUUAAUGGGGUUGUUAUGGGGUCUGACCUUAUGGGGUGGGAUAUAAUGGGGUUGUUAUGGGGUCUGACCUUAUGGGGUGGGAUAUAAUGGGGUUGUUAUGGGGUCUGACCUUAUGGGGUGGGAUUAUAAUGGGGUUGUUAUGGGGUCUGACCUUCUUCUUGCUACACCCCGACUGCACCAGGAUGGCCAGAUCCCCGACCUCAUGGGGCACUCGUGGAUCAGAACCGUCAUGGCCGUCACCAGCCCCACGGCCGGA
rnacentral:lncRNA from 1 species